GUGGGGAAUCUUCCGCAAUGGACGAAAGUCUGACGGAGCGACGCCGCGUGAGUGAAGAAGGCCUUCGGGUCGUAAAGCUCUGUCAUCAGGGACGAACGGCCGGUGGAGUGGAAAGCCACCGGAUUGACGGUACCUGAGAAGGAAGCCACGGCUAACUACGUGCCAGCAGCCGCGGUAAUACGUAGGUGGCAAGCGUUGUCCGGAAUUAUUGGGCGUAAAGCGCGCGCAGGUGGGAUCUUAAGUCCAUUUUUAAAGUUCGGAGCUCAACUCCGUGAUGGGAUGGAAACUGGGAUUCUUGAGUACCGGAGAGGAAAGCGGAAUUCCUAGUGUAGCGGUGAAAUGCGUAGAUAUUAGGAAGAACACCAGUGGCGAAGGCGACUUUCUGGACGAAAACUGACGCUGAGGCGCGAAAGCCAGGGGAGCGAACGGGAUUAGAAACCCCGGUAGUCC
rnacentral:rRNA from 1 species